rnacentral:rRNA from 1 species
AACGAACGCUGGCGGCAUGCCUAACACAUGCAAGUCGAACGAGACCUUCGGGUCUAGUGGCGCACGGGUGCGUAACGUGUGGGAACCUGCCCUUAGGUUCGGAAUAACUCCCCGAAAGGGGUGCUAAUACCGGAUAAUGUCUUCGGACCACAGAUUUAUCGCCUUUGGAUGGGCCCGCGUUGGAUUAGCUAGUUGGUAGGGUAAAAGCCUACCAAGGCGACGAUCCAUAGCUGGUCUGAGAGGAUGAUCCGCCACACUGGGACUGAGACACGGCCCAGACUCUUACGGGAGGGAGCAGUGGGUAAUCUUGGAAAAUGGGCGAAGGCCUGAACCAGCAAUGCCGCGUGAGUGAUGAAGGCCUGAGGGUUGUAAAGCUCUUUUACCCGGGAUGAUACUGACAGUACCGGGAGAAUAAGCUCCGGCUAACUCCGUG